rnacentral:rRNA from 1 species
UACGGGGGGAGCAAGCGUUGUUCGGAUUUACUGGGCGUAAAGGGCGCGUAGGCGGAAUGGCAAGUCGGUCGUGAAAUCCUUCGGCUCAACCGAAGAACGUCGAUCGAAACUGCCGUUCUUGAGGAUUGCAGAGGAGACUGGAAUUCCCGGUGUAGCGGUGAAAUGUGUAGAGAUCGGGAGGAACACCGGUGGCGAAGGCGGGUCUCUGGGCAAUUCCUGACGCUGAGGCGCGAAAGCGUGGGGAGCAAACGGG